GUAGGCUGCAACUCGCCUACAUGAAGCUGGAAUUGCUAGUAAUCACAGGUCAGCAUACUGUGGUGAAUACGUUCCCGGGCCUUGUACACACCGCCCGUCACACCAUGAGAGUUGAGAAUACCCGAAGUCCAUGUCAAAGUGGCCGAAGGUAGGCUUGAUGAUUGGGGUGAAGUCGUAACAAGGUAAC
rnacentral:rRNA from 1 species